rnacentral:ncRNA from 2 species
CUAUCAAGCUAGGGGUGUCCGAGGAAUCGGACUGAGAUCAUACCCUCAGAACCUGACCUGGUUGAUACCAGCGGAGGAAAGCGUUGCUUGAGGUCA